UCAGUCAGUCAUAAAUAAGAGUUAAGAGUGUUCUCCAUGGUUGCAGCAAGUCGAGCGUGAGAGCAUGCUAUUGCAAUCAACAUUUACGGGCGGAACAUAUUCAAGAGCGAGAUGCAUGAUGUGCGAAAACUGGAAUCAUCGUUUGGCAUUACGUUAAUUUU